rnacentral:rRNA from 1 species
AUGAUUUUUUGCUACAUCCAUUUUUUCUUGCUUGAACCGCUCCAUUUUUUCCUGGAACCAGAGCUCGACUUUGCUACAAUGCUAGGACGGUGGCUGCCAAGCAUUUUGCUGCAUCGAUUUUUCUGGCUGGAACUAGCAAUUAGUUUUGCUACAUCCAGCCGAAAGCAGAGCUGGAACUGCAACCACGGAAGCUACAACCGGUUAACAAUUUUGCUACAAUGGGCGACGGCGGGCGACAUCGACGAGCUUUUUUUUGCUGGAACCGACACCCUUUUUUGCUACAACUGGAUGACAUUUUUGCUGCUACCGGCAAUCUGA